rnacentral:rRNA from 1 species
CACGUAGGGUGCGAGCGUUGUCCGGAAUUAUUGGGCGUAAAGAGCUCGUAGGCGGUGUGUCGCGUCGGCCGUGAAAACCUGCAGCUUAACUGUGGGCGUGCGGUCGAUACGGGCAUCACUGGAGUUCGGCAGGGGAGACUGGAAUUCCUGGUGUAGCGGUGAAAUGCGCAGAUAUCAGGAGGAACACCUGCGGCGAAGGCGGGUUGCUGGGCUGACACUGACGCUGAGGCGCGAAAGCUAGGGGAGCGAACGGG